CACGGGGGGAGCAAGCGUUGUUCGGAAUCACUGGGCGUAAAGGGCGUGUAGGCGGUCAAGUAAGUGGAAUGUGAAAGCCCCCGGCUUACCCGGGGAUCUGCAUCCCAAACUGCUUGGCUUGAGUACGGGAGAGGAUAGGGGAAUUCCUGGUGUAGCGGUGAAAUGCGUAGAUAUCAGGAGGAACGCCGGUGGCGAAGGCGCCUAUCUGGCCCGAUACUGACGCUGAGGCGCGAAAGCUAGGGGAGCAAACGGG
rnacentral:rRNA from 1 species